UAUACCUCCGUCGCCAUUCCGCCCUUCAAAUCCCUGAGUUUCAUCAGCUGGAUCAUGGCGUGAAUGACGACGGUCGCUCGCGACGACCCAUGGCUCGCACGCGACAAACUCUACCACGUCCUCUUCUGCCUCUUCACCACCCUCCUCUUCUCUCACCUCGCCUCCCUCACCAAAAGCGGUUUCCUCCGACGCCACUCCCUUCUAGUCGGAUCCAUCGCCUCCCUCCUCGCCGGUGCUGCCAAGGAGGCCGCCGACCAGCUCGGCAUCUUCCCCUCAGACGGCGCCUCCGCCAAGGACGCCUUGGCCGACGUCCUCGGUGUCCUUAUUGCCGCCUGCGCAGUCUCCCUCUGCAGGCGCAGGUCUUCGACCCGACCCACGCCAGAAACGGGUCAGCACAGCGUUGCCUCGAUGGUUUGACUCGUUUGAGCAGGUAGUUGGGUCUGAUUGCUUCGUUUGGUGAGAAAUUUGCGGUUUUUCUUUAUCUCGAUCUGAAUGCUACAUCGGAGAAGGGUAGUUAUGAAGGUCUAAAAUGCUGGAUCUUCUAGCGAGGUACUCGAAAGAAGCUUGAAAAUUGAGUAUAGUGUUAUCUUUGCCUGUCGCUUCUGAAUCUACGCAAAAAUCGAAGGCUUUUCGUGGUUGUUUCCUUCAUCAUCUGGCAACUUGACAGCAGUGUAUAUUCCAGCUCCACAAAGCGCGCCGAGAAUGGGAGCAGUGAGG